rnacentral:pre_miRNA from 8 species
CCUCAGAUAGUCCAUGUGCUUCUCUUGUCCUUCAUUCCACCGGAGUCUGUCUCGUACCCAACCAGAUUUCAGUGGAGUGAAGUUCAGGAGGCGUGGAACUGA